GCCGCGGUGGCGGAAUGGCAUACGCGCCGGUCUCAAAAACCGGUGGACAUUAAGUCCAUGUGGGUUCAACUCCCACCCGCGGCA
rnacentral:tRNA from 1 species